rnacentral:rRNA from 1 species
UGGAUAACUGUGGUAAUUCCAGAGCUAAUACAUGCAACUCAUAUCCUGACGUGGGCUUGACUUGUUCUUGCACUCUGACGGAUGCUUUUAUUAGACCAAACCGCUGAGGGCACUUCGUUGUGGCUCUGCUGCUUCGUCGUGCUUGACUCGUUCAAUGGUGACUCUGGAUAACCUGGAUUGACAAGCGCACGUACCCCUCUCUGAGUGGGACGGCGCUGCCACUUUCGAGUGUCUGCCUUAUCAGCUAUCAACCGCUCGUUAUGUGCGACCGAUGGCGUUGACGGGUAACGGAGAAUCAGGGUUCGAUUCCGGAGAGGCAGCCUGAGAGACGGCUACCACGUCCAAGGACGGCAGCAGGCACGCAAAUUACCCAAUCCCAGCAACUGGGGGAGGUAGUGACGAAACAUAACGAUGCGGGCGCCCUUUCUGGGCCCCGCAAUCGGAAUGAGCACUUUCUAAACAACCUGACUAGAACCUACUGAAGGGCAAGUCUGGUGCCAGCAGCCGCGGUAAUUCCAGCUUCAGCAGCAUCUACUAAAGUUGCUGCGGUUAAAAGGCUCGCAGUUGAAUGUCGGUAUCGAGCGCAGGUCAGGUGGACGCUGGGNGCGUGAGAACACGGAGGCUUUGCGUUGUUGCGGUGUCAAAACCAAUCUCGCACUGUCUUCUCUCACAAGUCCCCGUCCGUAAACAGCCUCCUCGCUCGCGUACAUGAUUGGUCUGGCUUAUGGAGUGCGCGUUGGUAGUGUAGCGGGUGAAGUGUCUGGGCUCAGAGUUUCUCUGCAGUUCGGUUCUUUGCUUAGCUGCGCCUGCCUCGUGCUCAAGCUCCUACGGAUCUGGUGUCACCCUGAGUAAAUCAGAGUGUUCAAAGCAGUCGUGAGGGUGAAAGCCCGGUGCACAGUCUUGGCGGACUGACUUGGUUUUGCAUGGCAUGUCGGAAGACGACGUCGUGUGCUGGUUCAGAGAUAUAAUCAGUGGUGCAAGCCAGCCACGACGUACUGAUUAAAAGGACUGGUCGAGGGCAUUGGUAUUGCGGGGCGAGAGGUGAAAUUCUGUGACCCCCGCAAGACAU